rnacentral:rRNA from 1 species
GAUGAACGCUGGCGGCGUGCCUAAUACAUGCAAGUCGAGCGAACAGACGAGGAGCUUGCUCCUCUGACGUUAGCGGCGGACGGGUGAGUAACACGUGGAUAACCUACCUAUAAGACUGGGAUAACUUCGGGAAACCGCAGCUAAUACCGGAUAAUAUAUUCAACCGCAUGGUUCAAUAGUGAAAGACGGCUUUGCUGUCACUUUUAGAUGGAUCCGCGCCGCAUUAGCUAGUUGGUAAGGUAACGGCUUACCAAGGCGACGAUGCGUAGCCGAGCUGAGAGGGUGAUCGGCCACACUGGAACUGAGACACGGUCCAGACUCCUACGGGAGGCAGCAGUAGGGAAUCUUCCGCAAUGGGCGAAAGCCUGACGGAGCAACGCCGCGUGAGUGAUGAAGGUCUUCGGAUCGUAAAACUCUGUUAUUAGGGAAGAACAAAUGUGUAAGUAACUAUGCACGUCUUGACGGUACCUAAUCAGAAAGCCACGGCUAACUACGUG